rnacentral:rRNA from 1 species
GAUGAACGCUGGCGGCGUGCCUAAUACAUGCAAGUCGAGCGAACAGACGAGGAGCUUGCUCCUCUGACGUUAGCGGCGGACGGGUGAGUAACACGUGGAUAACCUACCUAUAAGACUGGGAUAACUUCGGGAAACCGGAGCUAAUACCGGAUAACAUGUUGAACCGCAUGGUUCAACAGUGAAAGACGGUUUUGCUGUCACUUAUAGAUGGAUCCGCGUCGCAUUAGCUAGUUGGUAAGGUAACGGCUUACCAAGGCAACGAUGCGUAGCCGACCUGAGAGGGUGAUCGGCCACACUGGAACUGAGACACGGUCCAGACUCCUACGGGAGGCAGCAGUAGGGAAUCUUCCGCAAUGGGCGAAAGCCUGACGGAGCAACGCCGCGUGAGUGAAGAAGGUCUUCGGAUCGUAAAACUCUGUUAUUAGGGAAGAACAAAUGUGUAAGUAACUAUGCACGUCUUGACGGUACCUAAUCAGAAAGCCACGGUUAACUACGUG